GGAGCUGUAAGCCCUGAGCACCGACAGCAUGUUCAUGGGCUUCUCCAGGCCCGGGGGCCCCCGCUCCGGCUUCGGCAGGCCCGCCGAGGGGUCCUGGGCGGCAAGAAGACCGGGGCCGUGCCACUGUUUCUCCGACGCUUGGGAUAAUGGAGCUGAGGACAAAGCUGUCCAUGAAAGCCUGCAAGGACCCUUGGAAAUUCACACCGUUGCCCACGAUGCUUUGCCACUUGGAAGCUGCGACAAGCUGACUUGUCACCGCAAGUCACCUCCUUCCUGCCGCCCAAGGAACGCUGCAUGGAUGCCCCCAGAGAAGCCAGAGAUGUGCUCCGGGAGGUACGGAUGUCCUGACAGAGCUGUGGGUCACAGCAUGGGAUUCUAAAGCAGUGGUGUUGGACCCCAACCCGCAACCCAACCCCGGGCAUCGCGGCGUGGGCCACUUCUCUCUGGGAUGUUGCCUUCUCGGUAGUGGGGCUGGGCCCGGGCAGGGAGCUGCUGCAGGCAUUAAGGAGUGAAUUACCAUGCAGGUGGGAGCUACGGUCUCUAGGAUUGCUGCUGCUAUCCUAUCCCUGCUGGCUAAAUCCUGCUGUGUAGACCCAGCCUUGGUCCUAAAAGCAAAGGAACCCCCCAGGCCACCUCCCCGACCCCUGCUGGGUGUGCUGCGGGGACCAGGUGUCACGUCCCCAGUGCCCGGUGGCCCUGCAGUUAGGGAAGCCUAGUGUCCGGCGACCAGGUGCAGGCCAGGGCAUAGGAGGGCACCUCCCCGUGACCCUGGAGGGACACGCGGGCAGCACCUGGGAGAGCAGGCAGGGUCCAUCCCGACCUCAGCUGAGACCCCCCACUCAGAAAACUACUCCUGACUUCCUUGGGCGGGCUUGCUCUCACAAAGAGCUUCCCCACUCAGGGUGGACUGGUUUCAGCAGCGCAUCAAACCCAGACUCACAGAGCACUCACAGAACUGGAGAGGGGCACGGAAAACCGAGCAGAACCAUCUGCCAUUAGUCCCUGAACUUUGGGGCCUCUGAGUUUUCACGAGUGAAAUGGCUUCUUAGAUUUUCCCAGACUGGUCAUUCCUCACCCAGUCACCCUUCCUGGGAAACCCCCACACUCAACGGGACACCUGGAAUCCCACGCCCCAGUACAGGUGUUCCAAGCUGCAGGGGCCUUUGGUGGCAAAAGGCACGCCCCCUCCUCCAGCUGGUCCGGGGUUGACUCCCUUCCAGCCUGGCCCCUGCACAUGGAACACAUACCUCCGACCCUCCAGGGUCUCACAGGCACCCAGCUGCCCAAGGCGGGGCUGGGGGAGGGGCAUGUGUAUGGGCAGCCUGUGGUGGAAUGACUGGGGAGCACCCCUGCCUCCGAGGGUUUGCUGCUGCAGCUCUGGGAUGAAUCAUCACAGGUGUGGGCGGGGCCCCGAGGUGCCUGGGUAUCUGGUGAGAGAUGGUUCUGGGGCUGUCUUCCUGGGUGUUUCUGGAUGAGAUUCUGGGCAGAGUAAACUGCCCGCCGCUCCGUGCUGUGACACUCAUCUUCUGCGAUUGUGCGCACACUCCAUCGGCUCUCUCAACUACCAGGUCUUCAGUCCAGGACCCGUGCCAUCGACUCUCCUGGGUCUCCAGCCCGCUGACGGCAGAUCCUGGGGCCUUAGCAGUCACAGUCACAUAGGCCAGUUUCUCACAAAUCUCUUUACACAUGAAUACACGCAUAGUCAUACACGCACAGUCAUGUGACCCUUAACAGGGGUACGAUUUAAGACCUGGAUGGGUUCGGUCAAACCUCAUGACUGAGCCAGGAGACCUGUGAGCACACGUGAUGUACGAGGCUGCUGCUGGCUGUUUUGCAGAAUCACCUUCUAGGAAGCAGCGCUGAGCCCAGCAGCUAAGGCACUCACGUCCAUGUUGGGAUACCCGGGCUUGAUUCCUGGCUCUGAUCCAAAUUCCAGCUUCUGGGAAGCCUCAGGUGUAGCACGAGUGGUUGGGUUCCUGCCACCCAUGUGGGAGCUCUGGACUGACUUCCAAGUUCUCAGCCCAGCCUUGGCCAUUGCAGGCAUUUGGGGGAAUGAACCAGCUGAUAGGAGAUCUCCCUGUCUCUCUCUCUCUCUCUCUCCUCUCAAAUAAAUUUUUAAAGAAUUAAAGAAUAUGAAGUUCUGAGAUGAUAAAGUAUAGUAUAGUAAACGCAUCACCCCACAACAUAGCUGUUUGUUAUGGUUACCAAGCACCAUGCACU